CCAGGCCCUACGGGGUGCAGCAGGCGCGAAACCUCCGCAAUGUGAGAAAUCGCGACGGGGGGAUCCCAAGUGCCAUUCUUAACGGGAUGGCUUUUCAUUAGUGUAAAGAGCUUUUGGAAUAAGAGCUGGGCAAGACCGGUGCCAGCCGCCGCGGUAACACCGGCAGCUCUAGUGGUAGCAGUUUUUAUUGGGCCUAAAGCGUCCGUAGCCGGUUUAAUAAGUCUCUGGUGAAAUCCUGCAGCUUAACUGUGGGAAUUGCUGGAGAUACUAUUAGACUUGAGAUCGGGAGAGGUUAGAGGUACUCCCAGGGUAGAGGUGAAAUUCUGUAAUCCUGGGAGGACCGCCUGUUGCGAAGGCGUCUGACUGGAACGAUUCUGACGGUGAGGGACGAAAGCUAGGGGCGCGAACCGGAUUAGAUACCCGGGUAGUCCUAGCUGUAAACGAUGCGAACUUGGUGUUGGGGUGGCUUUGAGCUGUCCCAGUGCCGAAGGGAAGCUGUUAAGUCCGCCGCCUGGGAAGUACGGUCGCAAGACUGAAACUUAAAGGAAUUGGCGGGGGGGCACCACAACGCGUGGAGCCUGCGGUUUAAUUGGAGUCAACGCCGG
rnacentral:rRNA from 1 species